AUGAACAUUCGACCUGAACUCAGACGGAA
rnacentral:rRNA from 1 species